UAGAAAUGCUAUAUCAUUAUUCCUUUAUAAUACUUCUAUACAAUACUGAUAUAGCAUUUCUAACGGGAGGUAGGUGUUUUGUCAUUUAUUUUGAGGUCAAGAUGAUAAUGUGCCGUUGACAAUGAUCAGUAUGCUCGUCAUGAGCAUCGUUGAGAAAAAUUAUAUGCUCCGGUACUUCGAUAGAAUAAUUUCAUCGUUGGAUGCUAAACAUGUGAUACUGCGAUCCAUAAAGCUUUUGAUAGCAUGAUUCUGACUUGACUUAGUAAUGGAGUGUCGACCGUAAUGUUUCAGACAAGACACAAUUUACUGGAAAACAUUGUCCCUCCGCCACCGUCGCUCUGAAACCAUCCAUGUGUUGGUACGUUCUGGGAGUUGAAUGGUGGUAUCUUGGAGCAGGCAAUCAAAAGAUUUCAUUACUAGCUUCGUGCCAACAAACAAAUUUAAAACUGGUUGGAUUACUUGGAUGCAUCGAUAAAUAUUCCUCCUUCUGUCUGCUCUAAUCCCACUUGCAAUUUGGUCGGGCAGUCUUAUCCUCUGCAAAGCCAAAAUUUAUUUGUCUUCCACCGAAAGUAUUCUUCUCUAAACAAAGCCUUUUUUUUUGGGUACAAUUGAACAGAGCGUUUUAAACACAAACAUAAACGACUGCAGUAAGAAGCGGCUCCAGAAGAGCGGAUUUGGUUAAAUUCGGACAAUAUCUUUCACCAACGCCACUGCCCGUGCUUGAAUAACCCACUGAACUUUGUUGGUUCUUUUCGCUGUUAUUUCUAGUGCUACCUUUUCUCUAGUACUUUAAGGCAUCGCUUGAAAACUUGGAACUGAGGAGAAAGAAUGGAAUGGAAUGGAAGGAAAAGUUAAAAAUUUUGAUGUUUGGGAGUUUUUAGUGGAGAGAAAGAAAAAGAAAAGAAGGAAAUAAGAGGAAAAAUUUUAGGCUCCAAUUCUCUCAUUUCUUUUCUCCCAUAAGUAGAAGGAUUUAGAGAGAAAGAAAUUGAAACUUAAUAAAUUUUUUAUAAUACCUAUUUUACCUUUAAAUUGAAGAAGUACCAAAUUAAAAGGACAUAUAUAUCCUAGGGUAUCUUUUGUUUUAACCUUUCAUAUGUCAUCUCCAUCUCUAUAUACCCAUCUACUGCAUCUCUACGGAGCUCUAUCUCCACAG
rnacentral:lncRNA from 1 species